AUUGAACGCUGGCGGCAUGCUUUACACAUGCAAGUCGAACGGUAACAGGUUAAGCUGACGAGUGGCGAACGGGUGAGUAAUGCAUCGGAACGUGCCCGGUCGGGGGGGAUAACGCAGCGAAAGCUGCGCUAAUACCGCAUACGAUCUAAGGAUGAAAGCGGGGGAGCGCAAGACCUCGCGCGAUUGGAGCGGCCGAUAUCAGAUUAGGUAGUUGGUGGGGUAAAGGCUCACCAAGCCAACGAUCUGUAGCUGGUCUGAGAGGACGACCAGCGACACUGGAACUGAGACACGGUCCAGACUCCUACGGGAGGCAGCAGUGGGGAAUUUUGGACAAUGGACGCAAGUCUGAUCCAGCCAUUCCGCGUGCAGGAUGAAGGCCCUCGGGUUGUAAACUGCUUUUGUACGGAACGAAAAGGUCUCUCUUAAUACGGGGGACUCAUGACGGUACCGUAAGAAUAAGCACCGGCUAACUACGUGCCAGCCGCCGCAGUAA
rnacentral:rRNA from 1 species